rnacentral:misc_RNA from 2 species
AGCAGCCGCGGUAAUUCCAGCUCCAAUAGCGUAUAUUAAAGUUGUUGCAGUUAAAAAGCUCGUAGUUGAAUUUCGGGAUUAGUGCGCUGGUCAUGCCUUUGGUAUGUACUGGUGUUACUGGUUCCUACCUUCUGAAGAACCGUCAUGUCAUUCAUUUGGUGUGGCGGGGAAUCAGGACUGUUACUUUGAAAAAAUUAGAGUGUUUAAAGCAGGCUCGCGCUUGAAUACAUUAGCAUGGAAUAAUGAAAUAGGACGUUUGACCCUAUUUUGUUGGUUUCUAGGAUCGACGUAAUGAUUAAUAGGGAUAGUUGGGGGCAUUAGUAUUCAAUUGUCAGAGGUGAAAUUCUUGGAUUUAUUGAAGACUAACUACUGCGAAAGCAUUUGCCAAGGAUGUUUUCAUUAAUCAAGAACGAAAGUUAGGGGAUCGAAGACGAUCAGAUACCGUCGUAGUCUUAACCAUAAACUAUGCCGACUAGGGAUCGGAUGAUGUUAUUUUUAAUGACUCAUUCGGCGCCUUACG